AGACCUUUGGGGCCAGCAGAACAGUAUCGGAGAUCGUCCAGUACCAAGCUUGCCAAAGUACACAGUCUCCUGCCAAUUCUGACUAGAGAAGGAUAGCUGGAGCCACUCAGUCACUGAGGAUUCUGGGGACUCAGCAGGAAUGAGUCAUAGACUGAGGGGCAAGCAAGGACAAGCUACAGUUCACACUCUGCCACUCAACAGGACCCCUUCCCACUGCUAAAUUCCAGGAGAGGUUGGAAAGUUAAAGAAGGGGCCUGACAGACAGCUCAUCAGAGAGACAUCCUUGCACCAGCAGAAUCGCCUGAUUUAAUCCCAAAGACCUGUGUGAAGGCUGAAGUAGAGAACUGAGUCCUGCAGACCAUCCUCUAACCUCCACAUAAACAAACAUACACAAUGAAUAAAUUAAUGCAAUAAUACUUU
rnacentral:lncRNA from 1 species